UCCCUCAUAGCUCAGUUAGUAAAGAAUCUGCCUGCAAUGCAGGAGACCCAGGUUCAAUUCCUGGGUUGGAA
rnacentral:tRNA from 1 species